rnacentral:rRNA from 1 species
GCGUUCAAUGGAUGCCUAGGUGCAACACACCGAAGAAGGACGUAGAGGGCUUACGAUAAGUACCGGUGAGCUGCCGUCAAGCUUUGAUCCGGUAAUUUCCGAAUGGGGAAACCCGCUUGUGCAUGGCACAAGAGGUUUGUUAAGAGGUUACGGUUACAAUGCCAGUAUCGUUUAGCGGUUACGUUUAGCGUUAAUAUUACGUUUGACGUCUAACUUUUUACGAAACGGGUUUCGUUACCGAUAAACCCUAAACGAAUUUCUUGCGCUGUGCAUGAGCACUUUAGUGCGAAUACAUAAGCGCUAGAGAGGGUACCGCCUGAACUGAAACAUCUAAGUAAGGCGAGGAAAAGAAAACAAACCAGUGAUUCCCUAAGUAGUGGCGAGCGAAAGGGGAAGAGCCUAAACUUGAGCGAGGCAUUGAGCCUCGCAGUGGGUAGUUAAUAGUUGGUAGUAGGUAGUUGGCGGCAAAUUAAUUGCAGCUUCUACAAGCUACAAGCGAGUCGAGUCCGACUCGACGAGUGAACUACUAACUACAAGUCGAAUUCAUUCGGCGUACUGCGAAGCUGAAAGCUUCGCUUGAGGGUUGCGGGACUCAAAUAUGAGACUAUUGCGGAUAGCAGAAUAAUCUGGAAUGGUUGGCCAUAGAUGGUGAAAGCCCAGUAUGUGAAAUUCAAGAUAGCUCUAUGAGUAUCCCAAGUACUACGGGACACGCGAAAUCCUGUAGGAAUCCGGCUCGACCAUGAGCCAAGGCUAAAUAUGUGUUGCGACCGAUAGUGAACUAGUACCGUGAGGGAAAGGUGAAAGAGUACCCCGGAAGGGGAAUGAAAAGUACCUGAAAUUGAACGCUAACAAGCAAUCGGAGCCCCGCUCUUUUUGCGCGUAAGAAGACCAUGAUUUAAGGCUAGUAAAGUCGUGUUUAGAUUAAGUCACGGUUUUGUCUUGUGUCCAAAAAGAGCGGGGUGACGGUGUGCCUAUUGAAGAAUGAACCGGUGAGUUUUAUCAUGCUGUAGUCUAACCCCGCUAAGCGGGGGGAGGCAGAGUGAAAGCAAGCGUUAAUAGCGCGUUUUAAUACAGCAUGUUAAAGACCCGAAACCGCGUGAGCUAACCAUGACCAGGAUGAAGUCCCGCUAACGCGGGAUGGAGGUCCGAACCCGUGUCAGAUGCAAGUGGUUGGGAUGAGUUGUGGUUAGGGGUGAUAUGCCAAUCGAACGCGGAGAUAGCUGGUUCUCCCCGAAAUAUAUUUAGGUAUAGCCCUUGUCUAACUUCACAGGGGUAGAGCACUGAAUGGGUGAUGCGAAGCAAUUUGUGUCAUUCAAUCAAACUACGAAUACUGUGAAACAAAUUGGGCGAGGAGUCAGUCCGACCCGGAUAAGCGGGCCAGGGCUAAAGGGAAACAACCCAGAUCCAAAGCUAAGGUCCCAAAGUGUAUUUUAAGUGUUAAAGGUAGUACUAGCGCCAAGACAGCAAGGAGGUUGGCUUAGAGGCAGCCAUCCUUUAAAGAAAGCGUAACAGCUCACUUGUCGAUUGCGGUAGUGCGCCGACAAUGUACCGGGGCUCAAAAAUACCACCGAAGCUUGGGAUUUGUCCGAAGGACAAAUAUCGCGGAACUAAGCAGAACUUUACGCAGAAAUACGCAGGAUUGUCGGCGUUAUUCCGCGUUUAGUUCAGCGUUUUUCAGCGGUACUUGCCCUUCGGGCAAGUGGUAGGGGAGCGUUUGCAUUGCGGUGAAGGUCACGGCGUAAGCCGGACUGGAGCGAUGCGAAGUGAGAAUGCCGGUAUGAGUAGCGAAAGUCCCGUGGGAAUCGGGACCGCCGAAUGUCCAAGGUUUCCUACGCAACGUUCGUCGACGUAGGGUUAGUCGGUCCUAAGGCGAGGCCAGAAGGCGUAGUCGAUGGAUAAGCAGUUAAUAUUCUGCUACUUUGGCAAAAUCGUUUUAAAGCAAAGGGAAGACGAAAAUGGAAAAUUCCUAGGUCGAAAUGAUACGGCCCCUAAAAAGUAAGAAAGUAAAAUGUGGAAAAUCCCUUUUUAUGAUUAUUCGAGCUUUGAUGGUUAGCUGCCGCAAGGUGGCAAAAGGAAAAGUUUCAAUUUCCAAGAAAUUUUCUCGUUGUUAGAUUUUAUCAAAACCGUACCUAAACCGACACAGGUGGACUGGUAUUAGAGUACCAAGGCGAGCGAGAAAACUAUCCUUAAGGAACUCGGCAAUAUAACUGGACGUACCUUUGGUAGAUGUCCUCCCUGGCCGUCUUUCAGACGGCUACAGUUGACAUUUGACAUCUGACAACUGACAAAAUUGGAAUUUUUUAUUUACAAAUUUUCCGCUUAAGUCAAUUGUCAAUUGUUAUUUGUUAUUUGUUGCCGCCCGACGGGCGGCUGGGGCGCAGUUAACGACGCCAGGCGACUGUUUAACAAAAACACAGGUCUCUGCAAAGUCGAAAGACGAAGUAUAGAGGCUGACACCUGCCCAGUGCUCGUAGGUUAAUCGUCUGAGGUGAUCUGUCUUUGGACAGUGAGCUUCGGAUGCAAGCCCGGGUAAACGGCAGCAGUAACUAUAACUGUUCUAAGGUAGCGAAAUUCCUUGUCGGGCAAGUUCCGACCCGCACGAAAGGUUGAACGACUCGGCGACUGUCUUGAGGAUAGACUCGGCGAAAUUGCAAUGGCUGUGAAGAUGCGGCCAACUUGCACCAGGACAAAAAGACCCCGUGGAGCUUUACUGCAGCUUGGCAUUGAUUUGGAGAUUAGACUUGUAUAGCGUAGGAGGGAGCCAGGUACCGUUUGGUACCUGGCGACAAUGUAACACCUCCCGGUUUGCUUUUCAAAUCUUACCGUUUGUCCUAAUAAAAUACGGGAGACGGGACAGUGUCUGGUGGGCAGUUUGACUGGGGCGGUCGCCUCCUAAAAGGUAACGGAGGCGUACAAAGGUCGACUCAACUCCUACAGAAACGGAGCGUUAGAGUGCAAAGGCAUAAGUCGGCUUAACUGUAAGUGGUACAUCACGAGCAGAUGCGAAAGCAGGUCUUAGUGAUCCUCACGUUGCUUAUGGGAGCGCGUGAGCUUAACGGAUAAAAGCUACCCCGGGGAUAACAGGCUGAUCUUCCCCAAGAGUCCAUAUCGACGGGAAGGUUUGGCACCUCGAUGUCGGCUCACCGUAUCCUCCCGCUGAAGUAGGCGGGAAGGGUUGGGCUGUUCGCCCAUUAAAACGGUACGCGAGCUGGGUUCAGAACGGCGUGAGCCAGUUCGGCCUCUAUCCGGUGCAAGCGUUUGAUACUUGAGGGGGGUCACCACUAGUACGAGAGGACCGUGGUGAGUUAGCCUCUAGUGUGCCAGUUGUCACAUCAGUGGCAGUGCUGGGUAGCCACGCUAAUAACUGAGAAGCGCUGAAAGCAUCUAAGCGCCAAACAGGCCCCAAGACUAGGUAUCUGUAAGAUCCGUUGUAGACUACGACGUUGAUAGGCGGCAGGUGUAAAGCAAGUAAUUGUUG